GUUGCCUAUAUGCAACCUGGGAUUGGCGUCCCGGAAUCAAUCGACGCAUAAGCCGCGUUAGCGGUUUUUUU
rnacentral:sRNA from 1 species